rnacentral:rRNA from 1 species
UUCCGUAGGUGAACCUGCGGAAGGAUCAUUACCGAGUGAGGGCCCUCUGGGUCCAACCUCCCACCCGUGUUUAUCGUACCUUGUUGCUUCGGCGGGCCCGCCUCACGGCCGCCGGGGGGCAUCCGCCCCCGGGCCCGCGCCCGCCGAAGACACACAAACGAACUCUUGUCUGAAGAUUGCAGUCUGAGUACUUGACUAAAUCAGUUAAAACUUUCAACAACGGAUCUCUUGGUUCCGGCAUCGAUGAAGAACGCAGCGAAAUGCGAUAAGUAAUGUGAAUUGCAGAAUUCAGUGAAUCAUCGAGUCUUUGAACGCACAUUGCGCCCCCUGGUAUUCCGGGGGGCAUGCCUGUCCGAGCGUCAUUGCUGCCCUCAAGCACGGCUUGUGUGUUGGGCUCUCGCCCCCCGCUUCCGGGGGGCGGGCCCGAAAGGCAGCGGCGGCACCGCGUCCGGUCCUCGAGCGUAUGGGGCUUCGUCACCCGCUCUGUAGGCCCGGCCGGCGCCCGCCGGCGAACACCAUCAAUCUUAACCAGGUUGACCUCGGAUCAGGUAGGGAUACCCGCUGAACUUAAGCAUAUCAAUAAGGCGGAGGAA